CGCGUGAGAAUCUGCCUUCAGGUCUGGGACAACAGAAGGAAACUUCUGCUAAUCCCGGAUGAGCCCUUGGGUAAAAGAUAAAUNUGCCUGGAGAUGAGCUCGCGUCUGAUUAGCUAGUUGGUGAGGUAAAAGCUUACCAAGGCGACGAUCAGUAGCUGGUCUGAGAGGAUGAGCAGCCACACUGGGACUGAGACACGGCCCAGACUCCUACGGGAGGCAGCAGUGGGGAAUUUUCCGCAAUGGGCGAAAGCCUGACGGAGCAAGACCGCGUGGGGGAGGANAGGCUUUAGGGUUGUAAACCCCUUUUCUUUGGGAAGAAGUUCNUGACGGUACCAAAGGAAUCAGCCUCGGCUAACUCCGUGCCAGCAGCCGCGGUAAUACGGAGGAGGCAAGCGUUAUCCGGAAUGAUUGGGCGUAAAGCGUCCGCAGGUGGCCAUGUAAGUCUGCUGUCAAAACCCAGGGCUCAACUCUGGUCAGGCAGUGGAAACUACAAAGCUAGAGUCUGGUAGGGGCAAAGGGAAUUCCCGGCGUAGCGGUGAAAUGCGUAGAUUUCGGGAAGAACAUCGGUGGCGAAAGCGCUUUGCUAGACCAGAACUGACACUCAGGGACGAAAGCUAGGGGAGCGAAUGGGA
rnacentral:rRNA from 1 species